rnacentral:rRNA from 1 species
GAUGAACGCUAGCGGCAGGCUUAAUACAUGCAAGUCGAGGGGCAGCAUGAAUGUAGCAAUACAAUUGAUUGCGACCGGCAAACGGGUGCGGAACACGUACACAACCUUCCAACAAGUGGGGGAUAGCCCAGAGAAAUUUGGAUUAAUACCCCGUAACAUAGCGAUGUGGCAUCACAUUGCUAUUAUAGAUUUUUCGCUUGUUGAUGGGUGUGCGGCUGAUUAGAUAGUUGGCGGGGUAACGGCCCACCAAGUCUACGAUCAGUAGCUGAUGUGAGAGCAUGAUCAGCCACACGGGCACUGAGACACGGGCCCGACUCCUACGGGAGGCAGCAGUAAGGAAUAUUGGACAAUGGACGCAAGUCUGAUCCAGCCAUGCCGCGUGAAGGAUUAAGGUCCUCUGGAUUGUAAACUUCUUUUAUAAGGGACGAAAAAAGGCUUUUCUAAGUCGUCUGACGGUACCUUAUGAAUAAGCACCGGCUAACUCCGUGCCAGCAGCCGCGGUAACAC